UGGCUCAGGAUGAACGCUAGCUACAGGCUUAACACAUGCAAGUCGAGGGGCAGCGCAGUGUAGCAAUACAUGGGCGGCGACCGGCGCACGGGUGCGUAACGCGUAUCCAACCUUCCCGUUACUCAGGGAUAGCCUUCCGAAAGGGAGAUUAAUACCUGAUGGUGUUCAAAUUCCGCAUAUUAUUUGAACUAAAGAUUUAUCGGUAACGGAUGGGGAUGCGUGACAUUAGAUAGUAGGCGGGGUAACGGCCCACCUAGUCUACGAUGUCUAGGGGUUCUGAGAGGAAGGUCCCCCACACUGGAACUGAGACACGGUCCAGACUCCUACGGGAGGCAGCAGUGAGGAAUAUUGGUCAAUGGUCGGAAGACUGAACCAGCCAAGUAGCGUGAAGGAUGAAGGUUCUAUGGAUUGUAAACUUCUUUUAUACGGGAAUAAAACCACCUACGUGUAGGUGCUUGUAUGUACCGUAUGAAUAAGCAUCGGCUAACUCCGUG
rnacentral:rRNA from 1 species